AGCCAGGAACCAGCCACUCUGAGAAACAACAUAAGCAUCCCAGGUUGGGGACAGCAGAAUACCUGCCAGAGAACCUGAAGAUAUUUCCUCCCCACAGCAGAGGCUGUGGAGCAGGACAUUUCUGUAUGAACUGCCAAGAAGGAAAAAGCUUGCAGUUCAAGAACAGUCCAUGAGCCAACAAUCCAACCUUCAACUCUAUAAAUGAUGGUGGAACCACAGGAUGCAAGGAGCCCAAGGUUCUGAAAAUUUAUGGAAGAGAUGUCCCAUCCUUCUACACUUACUGUUACACUGCCACACCUGAAUGAGCUGAAGAGUGGAUGAAAAACCUCAGAGACUGGCUCUGAGAUGGACUGACUGCGCACACUGGAACACAGGGCACACAGUCUAGCAC